rnacentral:rRNA from 1 species
AUUGAACGCUGGCGGCAGGCCUAACACAUGCAAGUCGAGCGGUUGAGGUAGCUUGCUACCGAUACAGCGGCGGACGGGUGAGUAAUACAUGGGAAUCUGCCUGGUAGUGGGGGACAACGUUUCGAAAGGAACGCUAAUACCGCAUACGCCCUACGGGGAAAGGGGGGGAUCUUCGGACCUCUCGCUAUCAGAUGAGCCCAUGUCAGAUUAGCUUGUUGGUGAGGUAAAGGCUCACCAAGGCGACGAUCUGUAACUGGUCUGAGCGGAUGAUACGUCACACUGGAACAGAGACACGGUCCAGACUGCUACGGGAGGCAGCAGUUGGGAAUAUUGGACAAUGGGCGCAAGCCGGGUCCAGCCAUGCCGCGUGUGUGAAGAAGGCCUUAGGGUUGUAAAGCACUUUCAGUGGUGAGAAAGGCCUUUUACUUAAUACGUAAGAUGAUUGAUGUUACCCACAGAAGAAGCACCGGCUAACUCCGUGCCAGCCGCCGCCGUAA